rnacentral:rRNA from 1 species
AUUGAACGCUGGCGGCAUGCCUUACACAUGCAAGUCGAACGGCAGCACGGGUUCUUGCACCUGGUGGCGAGUGGCGAACGGGUGAGUAAUACAUCGGAACGUACCUUAUCGUGGGGGAUAACGCAGCGAAAGUUGCGCUAAUACCGCAUACGCCCUGAGGGGGAAAGCGGGGGACCGUAAGGCCUCGCGCGAUUAGAGCGGCCGAUGUCUGAUUAGCUUGUUGGUGAGGUAAAAGCUCACCAAGGCGAUGAUCAGUAGCUGGUCUGAGAGGACGAUCAGCCACACUGGGACUUAGACACGGCCCAGACUCCGAGUGGAGGAAGCGGUGGGGAGUUUUGGACAAUGGGGUCCACCGUGAUCCAGCAAUGUCGCGUGAGUGAAGAAGGCCUUCGGGUUGUAAAUCUCUUUUGUCAGGGAAGAAACAGCAGCUCUAACACAGUCUGCGAAUGACGGUACCUGAAGAAUAAGCACCGGCUAACUACGUGCCAGCCGCCGCCGUAA